GGGAUGCGUAACGCGAUAUACAACGCUACCUUAUACAGGGGUAUAGCCCAGGGAAACUUGGAUUAACACCGCAUAGUAAUGUGUUUUGGCAUCAUUACAUANUUAAAACUACGGUGGUAUAAGAUGGGUAUGCGGUCCCAUUAGCUUGUGGGUGUGGUAACGGCACACCAAGGCAACGAUGGGUAGGGGCCCUGAGAGGGGGAUCCCCCACACUGGUACUGAGACACGGACCAGACUCCUACGGGAGGCAGCAGUGAGGAAUAUUGGACAAUGGGCGGGAGCCUGAUCCAGCCAUGCCGCGUGCAGGAAGACUGCCCUAUGGGUUGUAAACUGCUUUUAUACGGGAAGAAACCCACCUACGUGUAGGUGGCUGACGGUACCGUAAGAAUAAGGACCGGCUAACUCCGUGCCAGCAGCCGCGGUAAUACGGAGGGUGCAAGCGUUAUCCGGAAUCAUUGGGUUUAAAGGGUCCGCAGGCGGCCAGAUAAGUCAGUGGUGAAAUUCCGUGGCUC
rnacentral:rRNA from 1 species